UAAGCGGAGGAGAAAAAACUACCAAGGAUUCCCCUAGUANCGGCGAGUGAAGCGGGAUGAGCUCAAAUUUGAAAGCUGGCACCUUUGGUGUCCGCAUUGUAAUCUCGAGAAGUAGUUUCUGUGCUGGACCAUGUACAAGUUCCUUGGAAUAGGACAUCAGAGAGGGUGAGAAUCCCGUACUUGACAUGGAUCCCAGUGCUUUGUGAUCUGCUCUCUAUGAGUCGAGUUGUUUGGGAAUGCAGCUCAAAAUGGGUGGUAAAUUCCAUCUAAAGCUAAAUAUUGGGGAGAGACCGAUAGCGAACAAGUACCGUGAGGGAAAGAUGAAAAGCACUUUGGAAAGAGAGUUAAACAGUACGUGAAAUUGUCAAAAGGGAAGCGCUUGAGGUUAGCUAUGCAUGCAGUAUUCAACCUUUCUUUUGAUGGGUGUAUUUGCUGUUUUUUGCAGGCCAGCAUCGGUUUUGUCUGCUGGAUAAUGGUAAGGGGAAUGUGGCACCCUCGGGUGUGUUAUAGCCUCGUACUUGAUACAGUGGAUGGGACCGAGGACCGCAGUGUGCCGUAUGGCGGCUCUUCGGAGACCUUCGCACUUAGGAUGCUGG
rnacentral:rRNA from 1 species